rnacentral:rRNA from 1 species
AGCGAACGCUGGCGGCAGGCCUAACACAUGCAAGUCGAACGAAGUCUUCGGACUUAGUGGCGGACGGGUGAGUAACACGUGGGCACGUGCCUUUAGGUUCGGAAUAACUCAGGGAAACUUGUGCUAAUACCGAAUGUGCCCUUCGGGGGAGAGAUUUAUCGCCUUUAGAGCGGCCCGCGUCUGAUUAGCUAGUUGGUGAGGUAAAGGCUCACCAAGGCGACGAUCAGUAGCUGGUCUGAGAGGAUGAUCAGCCACAUUGGGACUGAGACACGGCCCAAACUCCUACGGGAGGCAGCAGUGGGGAAUCUUGCGCAAUGGGCGAAAGCCAGACGCAGCCAUGCCGCGUGAAUGAUGAAGGUCUUAGGAUUGUAAAAUUCUUUCACCAGGGAAGAUAAUGACGGUACCCGGAGAAGAAGCCCCGGCUAACUUCGUGCCAGCCGCCGCAGUAACAC